rnacentral:rRNA from 1 species
AACGAACGCUGGCGGCAUGCCUAACUCAUGCAAGUCGAACGAAGCCUUCGGGCUUAGUGGCGCACGGGUGCGUAACGCGUGGGAAUCUGCCCUUGGGUUCGGAAUAACAGUUAGAAAUGACUGCUAAUACCGGAUGAUGUCUUCGGACCAAAGAUUUAUCGCCCAAGGAUGAGCCCGCGUAGGAUUAGGUAGUUGGUGGGGUAAUGGCCCACCAAGCCGACGAUCCUUAGCUGGUCUGAGAGGAUGAUCAGCCACACUGGGACUGAGACACGGCCCAGACUCCUACGGGAGGCAGCAGUGGGGAAUAUUGGACAAUGGGCGAAAGCCUGAUCCAGCAAUGCCGCGUGAGUGAUGAAGGCCUUAGGGUUGUAAAGCUCUUUUACCAGGGAUGAUAAUGACAGUACCUGGAGAAUAAGCUCCGGCUAACUCCGUGCCAGCCGCCGCCGUAAGAC